rnacentral:rRNA from 1 species
GACGAACCGUACGAACGUUAUUCGGAAUCACUGGGCGUAAAGGGUGCGUAGGCGGGUUUUUAAGUCAGGGGUGAAAUCCUGGAGCUCAACUCCAGAACUGCCUUUGAUACUGAAAAUCUUGAGUCCGGGAGAGGUGAGUGGAACUGCGAGUGUAGAGGUGAAAUUCGUAGAUAUUCGCAAGAACACCAGUGGCGAAGGCGGCUCACUGGCCCGGUACUGACGCUGAGGCACGAAAGCGUGGGGAGCAAACAGG